CACGACAUUCUAAUUUACUGAGAUGCACCUGUAUGUGUAGCAUUGAUUAUGCCAUGGUAAUUGUCAGCAACCCUGGUCCAUAUGAAGUGUAGAUAACACUGUAGUCUUUUUCACUGUAGUAAGUUUUUAUUUUUAUAUUUUAUUGUAUAGAUAGUUGAUUGUUUAUUCAACUUCCUUCAAUAUUUACUAAGUGAAAUCAGUGAAUGAUGAUUUUGAUAGGGUGACCAUGUGUCCUCUUUUUUUUCCAGAUAUGUCCUGGCAAGGAUUUCUAUAUUGCCCAAAAUGUUCGGGUUUGUUUUCCUAUUUAUGUGCUCUCCACAGUCCUCAUACAUUAUGUGUAUUUGCAUUGCUGUGACUGUUCUUUGUAGAUCCCACCUUCUUGCACUCCACGAUAAGAAAACAAUAAUAAUAAUAAAAAAAAAAAAAAAAAAAAAACAGACAUUAUAGGCAAUUAAGAAAUCUUGACAGGACCAGGACAAAGAUGACAUGAAGACAUGAAAUUUUUCUAAAUCAUUUUUGAGUAAAACUGCUGUUGAUAGCAACUCUGGGGUGACCAAACCUGCCAUUUUCCCAGGACACCUCCUGGCCAGGAUUCUAUAUUGCCUAAAAUAUCCAGGUUGUAAUUAUCAAUGUUGUUGACAACUUGGAUGGUUGUUUUCAGAAUCCAAUGAGUGAUCUUGGCCCUUUACGUGAGUUAACCUGCAACAGAUUGCUGCUAUGUCACUGUGCCAAUCUGUCAGGCUUUGUAGUUAACCCAUUGAUGCAAACACAGGCCAGCCUAGGUGUAUUUAAGCUGGCUUUCCUCUACCGCAAGGAGAGAGAAUGAUGUUGAAACGAGAAGUCAUCUACAAACACUAAAACCCACAGGAACCUUAUUUUUGGGAAAAUCUGAUAGAGACAUUGUACGGGAUGAACUCAGGAAAUGGCUGCGACAGUCUCAACAACACCCAGAAGAGGACCACCUAAAUUCGAGAAUGACAAGACGAUUCAAAAGCAAACCUCCUAAGAAGGGAGUCAAAGGAUUUGGAGAUGAAAUCCCAGGAAUGGACCGUCUUGGCGCUGACAUCACUGUGGUGUGUCCAUGGGAAACCUUUAUCCAACCUGGAGUUGCACGAACUCACCCAAUGGUAUUAUUUGCAACGGAGGACAGGAAGAUGUGUCACCUGGACUUAUUUAGUGGAUUAGACUAGUUCCAGCUUUGGAUCCCAAAAGGAGGGAUGCUGAAAACGGACUCUUGUACCAUUGCCAUGAUACUCUGCUGCAAACAGUAGAGUUGUAAAGAUGCCAAUCCGUACUAGCCUAUGAAUGAACAAUACAUAUAGGCCUAAUGUAGUGAUUAUUGAGAUGCAAGAGGUUUAUGAAGGUUUAGGAUGAUAUAAAGUUGUAGAAUGUGGAACAAUGUGUAAUUUGAUUAAUCUGUUUGGGUUCUUUUCUACACCACAUAACCAAAAUACUCUAUAUCUUUGAACUGUUUUUAUGUGUGCCAAUUCUAUAUUUUGACUUUUUAGCAGAUGUACUCUGAGAGGAGAGGCCUUAUUAGCUGUAUAAAAUCACUUCAUCUGUUGCAUUGAUGCCUUAGAAUAUCCCCUGCUGUGAGCAAAUUUGGCUUCAUUUAAAUAGACCUUAAUCUGUGUUGUUAAAUAUGAAACAUGAAGAAGUUUAAUAUUUAACAUGACUUCAUCUCUGCAAAAAAAAUGUAGUCUUUCCUCAGAUGACCCUUCUUGAAUAA